rnacentral:lncRNA from 1 species
AAAAGAUAUAAUAAUUCUAUAUUUUAAUUACAAAAACAAAUUUUGGGAAAAGACAUAUUCAUUCUAUAUGUUGUGAAGUCCAGUAUUUAUUUCUUUCUAUGUUGUAUUUUGAGUAAUUGCAUGUCUUUUCUUCGUUUUGUAAGUAAUAUACAAUAACGUUGUCAGUUCUCUUCGACUCACGAAUUUUAUAUGUCCCAAUGGUCUCCUUCGCAACGUUUUUGUUAAUGUCUUUAACAUUCUAGUCAUAAUGUACGUAUUCCUAAAUUUUGGACACAUUCACAUUUGUUUUAUUCAUGACAUUUCACAAC